rnacentral:rRNA from 1 species
UACGUAGGGUGCGAGCGUUGUCCGGAAUUAUUGGGCGUAAAGGGCUCGUAGGCGGUCUGUUGCGUCAGGAGUGAAAACUCGGGGCUUAACCCCGAGCCUGCUUCUGAUACGGGCAGACUAGAGGUAUGCAGGGGAGAACGGAAUUCCUGGUGUAGCGGUGAAAUGCGCAGAUAUCAGGAGGAACACCGGUGGCGAAGGCGGCAUCCUGGACCGGCAUUGACGCUGAGGCGCGAAAGCCAGGGGAGCAAACGGG